GUUGUAUAGUCAAGUAAUUAAGUGCAUGUGGUGGAUGCCUUGGCAGUCAGAGGCGAUGAAAGACGUGAUAGCCUGCGAAAAGCUCCGGGGAGGCGGCAAAUAUCCUUUGAUCCGGAGAUGUCUGAAUGGGGGAACCCACCUACUUUAAGGUAGGUAUUGCAACAUGAAUACAUAGUGUUGCAAGGCGAACGAGGGGAAGUGAAACAUCUCAGUACCCUUAGGAAAAGAAAUCAAUUGAGAUUCCCUCAGUAGCGGCGAGCGAACGGGGAUCAGCCCAUUAAGUUAUGUGUGUUUUAGUGGAACGCUCUGGGAAGUGCGAACGUAGAGGGUGAUAUUCCCGUACACGAAAGGGCACACAUAAUGAUGACGAGUAGGGCGAGGCACGUGAAACCUUGUCUGAAUAUGGGGGGACCAUCCUCCAAGGCUAAAUACUCCUGACUGACCGAUAGUGAACCAGUACCGUGAGGGAAAGGCGAAAAGAACCCCUGUGAGGGGAGUGAAAUAGAUCCUGAAACCGCAUGCAUACAAGCAGUGGGAGCACCUUUGUGGUGUGACUGCGUACCUUUUGUAUAAUGGGUCAGCGACUUAUAUUCAGUAGCGAGGUUAACCGUAUAGGGGAGCCGUAGAGAAAUCGAGUCUUAAUAGGGCGUUUAGUUGCUGGGUAUAGACCCGAAACCAGGCGAUCUAUCCAUGAGCAGGUUGAAGGUUGGGUAACACUAACUGGAGGACCGAACCCACUGUCGUUGAAAAGCCAGGGGAUGACUUGUGGAUAGGGGUGAAAGGCUAAUCAAGCCUGGUGAUAGCUGGUUCUCCCCGAAAGCUAUUUAGGUAGCGCCUCGGACGAAUACCAUAGGGGGUAGAGCACUGUUUCGGCUAGGGGGUCAUCCCGACUUACCAAACCGAUGCAAACUCCGAAUACCUAUGAGUACUAUCCGGGAGACAGACUGCGGGUGCUAACGUCCGUAGUCAAGAGGAAAACAAUCCAGACCGCCAGCUAAGGCCCCAAAAUCAUAGUUAAGUGGGAAACGAUGUGGGAAGGCAUAGACAGCUAGGAGGUUGGCUUAGAAGCAGCCACCCUUUAAAGAAAGCGUAAUAGCUCACUAGUCGAGUCGGCCUGCGCGGAAGAUGUAACGGGGCUAAAACUAUGUGCCGAAGCUGCGGAUGUAUACUUUGUAUACGUGGUAGGGGAGCGUUCUGUAAGCCGAUGAAGGUGUGUUGAGAAGCAUGCUGGAGGUAUCAGAAGUGCGAAUGCUGACGUGAGUAACGACAAAACGGGUGAAAAACCCGUUCGCCGAAAGACCAAGGGUUCCAGUCCAACGUUAAUCGGGGCUGGGUGAGUCGACCCCUAAGGCGAGGCCGAAAGGCGUAGUCGAUGGGAAAAUGGUUAAUAUUCCAUUACUUCUGUGUAAUGCGAUGAGAGGACGGAGAAGGCUAAAUCAGCCUGGCGUUGGUUGUCCAGGUGAAAGGAUGUAGGCAUGUAUCUUAGGCAAAUCCGGGGUACUCUAUGCUGAGAUCUGAUAGCAAGCUGUACUUGUACAGCGAAGUGGUUGAUGCCAUGCUUCCAGGAAAAGUCUCUAAGCUUCAGUUACACAGGAAUCGUACCCGAAACCGACACAGGUGGUCAGGUCGAGUAGACCAAGGCGCUUGAGAGAACUCUGCUGAAGGAACUAGGCAAAAUGGUACCGUAACUUCGGGAGAAGGUACGCUGUUGUUGGUGAUGGAACUCGCUUCCUGAGCUGACGACAGCCGCAGAAACCAGGCCGCUGCAACUGUUUAUUAAAAACAUAGCACUCUGCAAACACGAAAGUGGACGUAUAGGGUGUGAUGCCUGCCCGGUGCUGGAAGGUUAAUUGAUGGGGUUAGCGUAAGCGAAGCUCUUGAUCGAAGCCCCAGUAAACGGCGGCCGUAACUAUAACGGUCCUAAGGUAGCGAAAUUCCUUGUCGGGUAAGUUCCGACCUGCACGAAUGGCAUAAUGAUGGCGGCGCUGUCUCCAGCAGAGGCUCAGUGAAAUCGAAAUCGCUGUGAAGAUGCAGUGUACCCGCGGCUAGACGGAAAGACCCCGUGAACCUUUACUGCAGCUUGACACUGAACUUUGACCUUACUUGUGUAGGAUAGGUGGGAGGCUUUGAAGCUGGAACGCUAGUUCCAGUGGAGCCGUCCUUGAAAUACCACCCUGGUAAUGUUGAGGUUCUAACUCUGUCCCGUGAUCCGGGACGAGGACCGUGUCUGGUGGGUAGUUUGACUGGGGCGGUCUCCUCCUAAAGAGUAACGGAGGAGUACGAAGGUGCGCUCAGCGUGGUCGGAAAUCACGCGUAGAGUAUAAAGGCAAAAGCGCGCUUAACUGCGAGACCCACAAGUCGAGCAGGUACGAAAGUAGGUCUUAGUGAUCCGGUGGUUCUGUAUGGAAGGGCCAUCGCUCAACGGAUAAAAGGUACUCUGGGGAUAACAGGCUGAUACCGCCCAAGAGUUCAUAUCGACGGCGGUGUUUGGCACCUCGAUGUCGGCUCAUCUCAUCCUGGGGCUGAAGCAGGUCCCAAGGGUAUGGCUGUUCGCCAUUUAAAGAGGUACGCGAGCUGGGUUUAGAACGUCGUGAGACAGUUCGGUCCCUAUCUACCGUGGGCGCUGGAAAUUUGAGAGGAUCUGCUCCUAGUACGAGAGGACCAGAGUGGACGAACCUCUGGUGUACCGGUUGUGACGCCAGUCGCAUCGCCGGGUAGCUAUGUUCGGAAGGGAUAACCGCUGAAAGCAUCUAAGCGGGAAGCCUACCUCAAGAUAAGAUUUCCCUAGGACUUUAUGUCCUCUAAAGAGCCGUUCGAGACUAGGACGUUGAUAGGUUGGAUGUGGAAGCAUAGUGAUAUGUGAAGCUGACCAAUACUAAUUGCUCGUGAGGCUUGACUAUACAACACCCAAGCAGUUG
rnacentral:rRNA from 2 species